GACGAACGCUGGCGGCGUGCUUAACACAUGCAAGUCGAACGGAAAGGCCCUGCUUUUGUGGGGUGCUCGAGUGGCGAACGGGUGAGUAACACGUGAGUAACCUGCCCUUGACUUUGGGAUAACUUCAGGAAACUGGGGCUAAUACCGGAUAUGAGCUCCUGCUGCAUGGUGGGGGUUGGAAAGUGUCGGCGGGUGGGGAUGGACUCGCGGCUUAUCAGCUUGUUGGUGGGGUAGUGGCUUACCAAGGCUUUGACGGGUAGCCGGCCUGAGAGGGGGACCGGCGACAUUGGGACUGAGAGACGGCCCAGACUCCUACGGGAGGCAGCAGUGGGGAAUAUUGCACAGUGGGCGGAAGCCUGAGGCAGCAACGCCGCGUGCGGGAUGACGGCCUUCGGGUUGUAAACCGCUUUCGCCUGUGACGAAGCGUGAGUGACGGUAAUGGGUAAAGAAGCACCGGCUAACUACGUG
rnacentral:rRNA from 1 species